rnacentral:rRNA from 1 species
CCUACGGGGGGCUGCAGUGAGGAAUAUUGGUCAAUGGGCGGAAGCCUGAACCAGCCAAGUAGCGUGCGGGACGAAUGCCCUAUGGGUUGUAAACCGCUUUUGUACGGGGAUAAUACCUUCUACGUGUGGCGUUCUGCAUGUACCUUGUGAAUAAGGGUCGGCUAACUCCGUGCCAGCAGCCGCGGUAAUACGGAGGGUCCGAGCGUUAUCCGGAUUUAUUGGGUUUAAAGGGUGCGUAGGCGGGCGUUCAAGUUAGUGGUAAAAUGUCGGGGCUCAACCGUGCUUUGCCAUUAAUACUGGAAGACUUGAGUUCAGAAGAGGCAGGCGGAAUUCGUGAAGUAGCGGUGAAAUGCAUAGAUAUCACGUAGAACCCCGAUAGCGAAGGCAGCCUACCAGAGUGCGACUGACGCUGAGGCUCGAGAGUGCGGGUAUCGAACAGGAUUAGAUACCCCGGUAGUC